rnacentral:rRNA from 1 species
CACGUAGUUAGCCGGUGCUUCUUCUGCACCUACCGUCAACUCCCGAACACGAGAGCCUUCGUCGAUGCCGAAAGAGGUUUACAACCCGAAGGCCGUCAUCCCCCACGCGGCGUUGCUGCGUCAGGCUUCCGCCCAUUGCGCAAGAUUCCCCACUGCUGCCUCCCGUAGGAGUCUGGACCGUGUCUCAGUCCCAGUGUGGCCGGUCACCCUCUCAGGCCGGCUACCCGUCGUCGCCUUGGUAGGCCAUCACCCCACCAACAAGCUGAUAGGCCGCGGACUCAUCCCACACCGCAUUAAACGCUUUCCACACCACACCAUGCGAUGCAGUGUCCUAUCCGGUAUUAGACCUCGUUUCCAAGGCUUAUCCCGAAGUGCAGGGCAGAUUGUCCACGUGUUACUCACCCGUUCGCCACUCAUCCACCCACCGAAGUGGGCUUCAGCGUUCGACUUGCAUGUGUUAAGCACGCCGCCAGCGUUCGUCCUGAGCCAGGACGUCAAACUCU